rnacentral:rRNA from 1 species
UACGUAAGGUGCGAGCGUUAAUCGGAAUUACUGGGCGUAAAGCGUGCGCAGGCGGUUCGUUGUGUCGGCGGUGAAAGCCCCGGGCUCAACCUGGGAAUGGCCGUUGAAACUGGCGAACUGGAGUGUGGCAGAGGGGGGGUAGAAUUCCACGUGUAGCAGUGAAAUGCGUAGAUAUGUGGAGGAAUACCGAUGGCGAAGGCAGCCCCCUGGGUCAAGACUGACGCUCAUGCACGAAAGCGUGGGGAGCAAACAGG